rnacentral:rRNA from 1 species
UACAGAGACUGCAAGCGUUGUUCGGAUUCACUGGGCGUAAAGGGUGCGCAGGCGGCCAAGUGUGUCAGGUGUGAAAGCUCGAGGCUUAACCUCGAAACUGCGCCUGAAACUAUUUGGCUAGAGUACUGGAGAGGGAAGUGGAAUUCACGGUGUAGCAGUGAAAUGCGUAGAUAUCGUGAGGAACACCAAUGGCGAAGGCAAACUUCCUGGACAGUUACUGACGCUCAGGCACGAAAAGCGUGGGGAGCAAAGG